GAGUGGGUGUCCAUUAGCUCAAGUGAUGGUGGUAGCACAAACUAUGCAGACUCCGUGAAGGGCCGAUUCACCAUCUCCAGAGACAACGCCAAGAACACGGUGUAUCUGCAAAUGAACAGCCUGAAACCUGAGGACACGGCCGUCUAUUACUGUGUGGGAGGAGAUUACAGUUAUAAUCCUUGGUUUC